GGCACUUUGGCUGAGCGGUUAAAGCGUAAGACUAGAAAUCUUAUCCCUUCGGGGUCGCAGGUUCGAGUCCUGCAGGUGUCG